rnacentral:rRNA from 1 species
AUUGAACGCUAGCGGGAUGCCUUACACAUGCAAGUCGAACGAGUGGCGGACGGGUGAGUAAUGUCUGGGAACGUGCCUGAUAGAGGGGGAUAACUACUGGAAACGGUGGCUAAUACCGCAUACCAUCAGAUGUGCCGAGAUGGGAUUAGCUUGUUGGUGGGGUAACGGCUCACCAAGGCAACGAUCCCUAGCUGGUCUGAGAGGAUGACCAGCCACACUGGAACUGAGACACGGCCCAGACUCCUACGGGAGGCAGCAGUGGGGAAUUUUGCACAAUGGGGGAAACCCUGAUGCAGCCAUGCCGCGUGUAUGAAGAAGGCCUUCGGGUUGUAAAGUACUUUCAGCGGGGAGGCGGUACCUGCAGAAGAAGCACCGGCUAACUCCGUGCCAGCAGCCGCGGUAAUAC